GGAAAACCUUAUUUUAUUUAAGGACAAAAUCAUAGAUGAAGGAAAAAGAGUACAACAUCAUUUUCUUUAAUUAUUUAAAGAGCUCAUUAACUUUCUUAUUCAAGAAAAGCAAGUCGCCGCAUACCAAUGCUAUAAGUAAGUCGACAAUGGUUGCUUAAUGGGAGAGCUUUGGUGAAGAGAUUAGCAAGGUUAUUUGUAGAUUCAAUUUUCUUAAUUAUAAGUGCUUGAUCAGUAAUCAAGUCAUGAGUAUAACUAAAAUACUUUGGAUCAAUAUGCUUUGUCUUGUCACCUUUAAUGAAACCAACUUGCAUCUGUACAAUACAAGCACUAUUAUCUUCAUGCAAGAUAGUUGGAGAAUCAUCAUAUGAAAAUCCACAGGUUGUUUGAAUGAAUUUAUCAAUUGAUCGCAACCAAAUACAUUCUCGAGAUGCUUCAUGUAAGACAAUAAUUUUCUGCAUGGUUGGAUGAAGUUGUAGUUAUUGUUUGUUUCACUGAUUUCCAUGAUAUUGUAGCUCUAUGUCUUAAAAAUACAUAUCCUAUUUGAGAUUUAGUUGUUGCAAUAUCAGAUUUAUAUCCUGCAUCACAAUAUACAACCAAUUUUGGAUCUGCCGAUUUUGUGUAAUAUAAUCCCAAGUCUUUAGUAUCUUUUAAAUUACGUAAUAAAUGUUUGAUGCCAUUCCAAUGUGGUAGUGUUGGACGUGUACUAUGUCUUGCAAGAACACUAACUACAAAUGCAAUAUCUGGUCUUGUAGAUGUAGCUAAAUACAAAAGUGCUCCAACCGCUGCGAGGUAUGGAUAUUGGUCUCCCAAUAUUUCCUCCUCCUCCUUGCAUAGACGGUAUGGAUCAUGACCAUCACGACCACGUCCAACCAUUGGUGUGGACAAUGGAUAAGCAUCAAUCAUAUUAAAUCUUUGUAAGAUUUGUCUAAUAUACAUUAGUUGGUAGAAAAAAAUGCUACCAUCUGUAAGAUGCAUAAUCUGAAGACCAAUGCAGAAAGUUAUUUUUUCUAGCAUUUUCAUCUCAAAUUCACAUAUAAGUAGGUUUGUAGCUGUAACACAUGCAGAUGUAGUGUCCACUAGGUUAAGAUCAUCAACAUAUAUAGUGAUGACCA
rnacentral:lncRNA from 1 species